GACGAACGCUGGCGGCGUGCUUAACACAUGCAAGUCGAACGAUGAAGCCGGAGCUUGCUCUGGUGAAUUAGUGGCGAACGGGUGAGUAACACGUGAGUAACCUGCCCUUGACUCUGGGAUAACUGCGGGAAACUGUAGCUAAUACCGGAUACGACCCUCGGAGGCAUCUCCUGGGGGUGGAAAGAAUUUCGGUCAAGGAUGGACUCGCGGCCUAUCAGCUAGUUGGUGAGGUAAAGGCUCACCAAGGCGACGACGGGGAGCCGGCCUGAGAGGGGAGCCGGCAACACUGGGACUGGGACACGGCCCAGAGUCCUACGGGAGGCAGCAGUGGGGAAUAUUGCACAAUGGUCGCAAGCCUGAUGCAGCAACGCCGCGUGAGGGAUGACGGCCUUCGGGUUGUAAACCUCUUUUAGCAGGGAAGAAGCGAAAGUGACGGUACCUGCAGAAAAAGCACCGGCUAACUACGUGCCAGCAGCCGCCGUAA
rnacentral:rRNA from 1 species